UACGUAGGGUGCAAGCGUUAAUCGGAAUGACUGGGCGUAAAGGGUGUGUAGGCGGUUUUUUAAGUCUGGUGUGAAAUCCCCGGGCUCAACCUGGGAACUGCGUUGGAUACUGGAAAACUAGAGUACGUAAGAGGGGGGUGGAAUUCCACGUGUAGCAGUGAAAUGCGUAGAGAUGUGGAGGAACACCGGUGGCGAAGGCGGCAUCCUGGACCGGCAUUGACGCUGAGGCGCGAAAGCCAGGGGAGCAAACGGG
rnacentral:rRNA from 1 species